GAUGAACGCUGGCGGCGUGCCUAAUACAUGCAAGUCGAGCGAACGGACGAGAAGCUUGCUUCUCUGAUGUUAGCGGCGGACGGGUGAGUAACACGUGGAUAACCUACCUAUAAGACUGGGAUAACUUCGAGAAACCGGAGCUAAUACCGGAUAAUAUUUUGAACCGCAUGGUUCAAAAGUGAAAGACGGUCUUGCUGUCACUUAUAGAUGGAUCCACGCUGCAUUAGCUAGUUGGUAAGGUAACGGCUUACCAAGGCAACGAUGCAUAGCCGACCUGAGAGGGUGAUCGGCCACACUGGAACUGAGACACGGUCCAGACUCCUACGGGAGGCAGCAGUAGGGAAUCUUCCGCAAUGGGCGAAAGCCUGACGGAGCAACGCCGCGUGAGUGAUGAAGGUCUUCGGAUCGUAAAACUCUGUUAUUAGGGAAGAACAUAUGUGUAAGUAACUGUGCACAUCUUGACGGUACCUAAUCAGAAAGCCACGGCUAACUACGUG
rnacentral:rRNA from 1 species